rnacentral:rRNA from 1 species
UACGGAGGGUGCGAGCGUUGAUCGGAAUAACUGGGCGGAAAGGGCACGCAGGCGGGCUUAUAAGUGAGAUGUGAAAUCCCCGGGCUUAACCUGGGAAUAGCAUUUAAGACUGGGAGUCUAGAGUACUUGAGGGAGGGGUAGAAUUCCACGUGUAGCGGUGAAAUGCGUAGAGAUGUGGAGGAAUACCGAAGGCGAAGGCAGCCCCUUGGGCAUGUACUGACGCUCAUGUGCGAAAGCGUGGGGAGCAAACAGG